UGGGUAACCUGCCCUUGAAGUAGGGGAUAACACUUGGAAACAGGUGCUAAUACCGUAUAACAACCAAAACCACCUGGUUUUGGUUUAAAAGAUGGCUUCGGCUAUCACUUUAGGAUGGACCCGCGGCGUAUUAGCUUGUUGGUAAGGUAACGGCCUACCAAGGCAAUGAUACGUAGCCGACCUGAGAGGGUAAUCGGCCACAUUGGGACUGAGACACGGCCCAAACUCCUACGGGAGGCAGCAGUAGGGAAUCUUCCACAAUGGACGAAAGUCUGAUGGAGCAACGCCGCGUGAGUGAUGAAGGGUUUCGGCUUGUAAAACUCUGUUGUUGGAGAAGAACAGGUGUGAGAGUAACUGUUCACAUCUUGACGGUAUCCAACCAGAAAGCCACGGCUAACUACGUGCCAGCAGCCGCGGUAAUACGUAGGUGGCAAGCGUUGUCCGGAUUUAUUGGGCGUAAAGCGAGCGCAGGCGGUUUCUUAGGUCUGAUGUGAAAGCCUUCGGCUUAACCGGAGAAGUGCAUCAGAAACCAGGAGACUUGAGUGCAGAAGAGGACAGUGGAACUCCAUGUGUAGCGGUGAAAUGCGUAGAUAUAUGGAAGAACACCAGUGGCGAAGGCGGCUGUCUGGUCUGUAACUGACGCUGAGGCUCGAAAGCAUGGGUAGCGAACAG
rnacentral:rRNA from 1 species